rnacentral:lncRNA from 1 species
CCUGAGUGUUCUUUCAGUUUAGAUGAAAACAGAAUGUUUGCAGGGGGAAAUUCUUUAGAACAGUGAUUGCUGUUGGAUGAGAUCUAGCAAGGUGAUAUUUUUUUUUCUGAACUAUUUUGUAGAAAAGAAAAGUAAGAGAGAGAGAGAGAGAGAAGGGUUUUUCUCAAAUUUGCACAUGGGUGUUUCCUACCAUUGCUUGUAAGAUAAACAGUGCUGCUUAGUGAGGAAGACUGUUAGUGCACGGUGAUAAGAACUACAGAACAGAGACGUGUGCGGUGCUGCGGCAUUAACCACGGACGUCAAAUGGUCUUCCGUUCACGACAAAUCCAAAGAUGCGCAUAGCUGAGAUAGAACCAGAUGACAUUACUUGUUUAACUACUGAAGACUCAAAAGAAAAUGAUCAAGAAAAUCGGAUCAAAAAUAAAAUAUAUGAGAAAAGUCAAGACUCAACUGAGUGUCCAGAUUCUUACAAAUCACUUAAAAUUGAGAGCAGCGUUUGAAAGACGCAGAAGGGUUGAUCACAGUGUAAAUAUUUCCAGUGGAGAAUAUUACAGCCAUGCAGCUGUCAUUCUGACCUUUGAAGAGGCACUGGAAAUGCCAUGGGUGGCCUAAAUAGCACAUCCAAUACAAGCUGAAGUGUUCAAUAAAAUCUAAGCUGGGACAAACAAGAACAAUCUGUCAAGCCAGCUGUUCCCGACAUUUGAUAAAAUUCUCCUUCAUAAAAAAAAGCCUCUGAUAUUAUUCUCUACUCAGUGAUUAGAAAUACCAGUAUGUCAAUUAUUUUACAUAUUUGAGGAUUUCCACAGACCCAUCCUGUAAAACAUGUGAACACGCAGCCAAUGCAAACACUGCUAACACAUUUUACUUAGGACAUAGAAUUUGACUUUGGGGAGUGGUUUGAUUUGUAUGUUGAAAAUAAAUGACUAAGAAAGAAGGUAAAUGCCAUUAGAAAUAUUUUGGAUUUUUCCACACCUAAUCACCACAAUCAGGAGUUAGAGAAAAUUCUUAUGUUAUUUUCAA